AAGCUCACAAUACCUUGGACCUCCCAGACACCAUCAGCAUUCUGGCAGUUCAGGGGUCCACCAGAAUCUCCCUGUGCAACAGGACACAGGCCCUGUGUUUUUACGUACAUUGCAGCCAGAAACAAUGCCGUCUCCUCCAGCGCAGACCAUGGUCUCCUUAACCUGGCUGCCCCACCAGUCAAACUUGGUGCAGGUAGCAUGGUCCACCACGGGGAGCAGAGCCUGCUGCAGGAUAUCAGGGAGAGCACCUCCAGCUGCAGAGAGAUAAAAUAGCUAUAUUUAUGCAGUGUUGUGCAGCAGCCGUACUUAUAGUGCGUCCCCAUCCGGUGACGUAGCAGGGGUAAUCGUGGGGCAGGGUGUAGCCUUCCUCGGGAAGACAGGCUGGCAUGAUGGUGUCGCUGACAGUCACAGGGUUAGCCAAC